rnacentral:rRNA from 1 species
GAGUUUGAUCUUGGCUCAGAUUGAACGCUGGCGGCAGGCCUAACACAUGCAAGUCGAGCGGUAGAGAGAAGCUUGCUUCUCUUGAGAGCGGCGGACGGGUGAGUAAUGCCUAGGAAUCUGCCUGGUAGUGGGGGGAUAACGCUCGGAAUCGGACGCUAAUACCGCAUACGUCCUACGGGAGAAAGCAGGGGACCUUCGGGCCUUGCGCUAUCAGAUGAGCCUAGGUCGGAUUAGCUAGUUGGUGAGGUAAUGGCUCACCAAGGCGACGAUCCGUAACUGGUCUGAGAGGAUGAUCAGUCACACUGGAACUGAGACACGGUCCAGACUCCUACGGGAGGCAGCAGUGGGGAAUAUUGGACAAUGGGCGAAAGCCUGAUCCAGCCAUGCCGCGUGUGUGAAGAAGGUCUUCGGAUUGGUAAAGCACUUUAAGUUGGGAGGAAGGGCAGUAAAUUAAUACUUGCUGUUUGACGUUACGACAGAAUAAGC